rnacentral:rRNA from 1 species
AUGUCGCAGGUGAGGAUCGUCGACGCGAGCUACGUCGAUGUGCCGGAGACCGCCGUCCGGCCACCGGGGCCGAUCAAGCUGACCGCCAUGGAGGCGCUGUGGAUCGUCAUCCCGGUGCUGCAGCACGUGCUGCUCUACGAGGGCGACGACGACACGCCGCCCUUCGACGCUAUCGUUCAGUCGCUUCGUUCCUCCCUCGCCGCGACUUUGCGCAGCUUCGCGCCGCUCGCCGGCAAGCUGGUCCACCUCGAGGAAACGGGGGACGUCGGCAUCAGCUGCUCCGCCUCCGACAGCGUCCGGUUCGUCGUCGCGGAGUGCGACGCAGACAUCGGGCGCCUGGCCGGAGACGAGGAGCACGACCUGCGCGUGCUCGAGGGGCUCGUGCCGGAGGUGGACAUGAGCCUGCUGCCGACCCCCGUGCUGGCCGUGCAGGCCACGCGCUUCCAGGGCGGCGUGGCGGUCGGGGUGACGGUGCACCACGGUGUCGCCGACGGCCGGGCGCUGUGGACGUUCGUUGAGGCGUGGGCGGCGGCGUGCCGGGGCGAGACGCCGGCCACGACGCCGUGCUUCGACCGCUCCCUCGUCAAGCUGCCCGGCGGCGAAGAGCUGGCCAGGAGCGUCGUACGGAAGGUGGCCCCGAAUUUGCCUUCGGUGGCACUAGCAUCAUCAGUCUUCGAAGACCGAAAGCGGCUCAUUCGCCGAACGUUCACCUUGGACGAAGGAGACAUCCAACGCCUGAAGCAGCACAUCGUCCACCUCAACGAGUCGGGCGGCACGCCCCUGCCUCGCCCGCCGUCUGCUUUCGCCACCGUCGUCGCACUCGCGUGGACGUGCUUUGCCCGGUGCAAGUCGUUCUCCUUGGAGGACGACGUGUGGCUCUUCUUCUUCGCCGACAUCCGUGAGCGCCUUGACCCUCCCGUCGCCGCGGGGUACAUUGGCUCGUGCCUCACCAAGUGCUUGGCAAGGCUCCCCGCCCGGGAGCUUCAUGGCGAGCGCGCCCUGGCGGCUGCGGCUGCGGCGGUCCAAGGCGAGAUCAACAAGAUGAAGGAAGACCCUAUCGCUGGGUGGAAUUUCUUCUCAUUCGAUCCCAUGCCUUCCAUCGACCGGCUAAUGAACAUAUCAGGCUCGUCGGGUUUUAGUGCAUACCAGAUCGCCGACUUUGGGUGGGGCAAGCCAAGGCGAACAGAGCCGAUUAGGAUGAACUCGGAUGGUCAGGUGGCACUGAUGGGCAGCAGGGAUGGCCGGGGUGUGCAGGUCUCAGUGGCACUGCUCCAAGCGGCACAAAUGGACGAGUUCAAAUCUAACUUUCUGGCGCUACUUGAGUGA